GGGCCGUUCGUAUAACGGUUAGUACGUGGAUCUCAUAAAUCCUUAAUGAUGGUUCGACUCCAUCACGGCCCACCA
rnacentral:tRNA from 1 species